rnacentral:rRNA from 1 species
UGCGUAGGCGGAAUGAUAAGUUAGUGGUGAAAUCCCUCGGCUCAACCGAGGCACUGCCAUUAAUACUGUCAUUCUUGAGUAUAGUUGAAGUGGGCGGAAUGUAUCAUGUAGCGGUGAAAUGCUUAGAUAUGAUACAGAACACCGAUAGCGUAGGCAGCUUGCUAAACUAUAACUGACGCUCAGGCACGAAAGCGUGGGGAGCAAACAGGAUUAGAUACCCUGGUAGUCC